rnacentral:rRNA from 1 species
UUGGAGGUUGUGCCCUUGAGGCGUGGCUUCCGGAGCUAACGCGUUAAGUCGACCGCCUGGGGAGUACGGCCGCAAGGUUAAAACUCAAAUGAAUUGACGGGGGCCCGCACAAGCGGUGGAGCAUGUGGUUUAAUUCGAUGCAACGCGAAGAACCUUACCUGGUCUUGACAUCCACGGAAGUUUUCAGAGAUGAGAAUGUGCCUUCGGGAACCGUGAGACAGGUGCUGCAUGGCUGUCGUCAGCUCGUGUUGUGAAAUGUUGGGUUAAGUCCCGCAACGAGCGCAACCCUUAUCCUUUGUUGCCAGCGGUCCGGCCGGGAACUCAAAGGAGACUGCCAGUGAUAAACUGGAGGAAGGUGGGGAUGACGUCAAGUCAUCAUGGCCCUUACGACCAGGGCUACACACGUGCUACAAUGGCGCAUACAAAGAGAAGCGACCUCGCGAGAGCAAGCGGACCUCAUAAAGUGCGUCGUAGUCCGGAUUGGAGUCUGCAACUCGACUCCAUGAAGUCGGAAUCGCUAGUAAUCGUGGAUCAGAAUGCCACGGUGAAUACGUUCCCGGGCCUUGUACACACCGCCCGUCACACCAUGGGAGUGGGUUGCAAAAGAAGUAGGUAGCUUAACCUUCGGGAGGGCGCUUACCACUUUGUGAUUCAUGACUGGGGUGAAGUCGUAACAAGGUAACCGUAGGGGAACCUGCGGUUGGAUCAC